rnacentral:rRNA from 1 species
UACGGAAGGCAGCAGUGGGGAAUAUUGCACAAUGGGCGAAAGCCUGAUGCAGCUAUGCCGCGUGUAUGAAGAAGGCCUUAGGGUUGUAAAGUACUUUCAUUGGGGAGGAAAAACAAAACUAAUAAUUUUAUUUCUUGACGUUACCCGAAAAAGAAGCACCGGCUAACUCCGUGCCAGCAGCCGCGGUAAUACGGAGGGUGCUAGCGUUAAUCAGAAUUACUGGGCGUAAAGAGCACGUAGGUGGUUUUUUUAAAGUCAGAUGUGAAAUCCCUGGGCUUAACCUGGAACUGCAUUUUGAAACUGAAAUACUAGAGUAUCGUAGAGGGAGGUAGAAUUCUAGGUGUAGCGGUGAAAUGCGUAGAUAUCUGGAGGAAUACCUGUGGCGAAAGCGGCCUCCUAAACGAAUACUGACACUGAGGUGCGAAAGCGUGGGGAGCAAACAGGGAUUAGAUACC